CCGCCAUAUCCCGUUGAAAGACCGGUUCUCGUAUGCUCACCGAAGUUAAGCAACGUCGAGACUGUUCAGUAUUUAGAUGGGUGACCGCUUGGAAAUGCGAGUGGUGUA